AAUUAUCAACCUUUUUCGAUUCUUCUUGAAUUGGAGAAGGCUUGGACUUUGGAGGCUCCUGCUGGCCUCUCUUGAAGCCAGCUCCUCUUAAAUGCAUUAGCGGGGGUUUCCUUUUGCUGGUCCUCGACGUGAUAAGGCUUCUUUCUACGUCCGGGGAUUCGGCUUAAGACCCGCUUCUAAUGGUCUCGUCGAGACGCCGUGAACCCU
rnacentral:misc_RNA from 1 species